rnacentral:rRNA from 1 species
UACAGAGGUCCCAAGCGUUGUUCGGAUUCACUGGGCGUAAAGGGUGCGUAGGCGGUCGGGUAAGUCUGAUGUGAAAUCUCCGAGCCUAACUCGGAAACUGCAUUGGAUACUAUUCGGCUUGAGAGUUGGAGGGGGGACUGGAAUUCUCGGUGUAGCAGUGAAAUGCGUAGAUAUCAGGAGGAAUACCGAUGGCGAAGGCAGGUCUCUGGGCUGACACUGACGCUCAUGCACGAAAGCGUGGGGAGCAAACAGG